AGACAGUGUUGCAUUUCCAAGUAGGCAUGUUUGUUCUGCUUUGCAUUGGUGAAAUGUGAAGAAUGUGAAGAAACCAUUUGUCUCUUGAAAUUUCUAACGAAUAAAAAUCCUUUUCACUGAGAAAUUCUGAAAAAUUCUAUUAAGAUAAGAACAACAGCUGCUAUUAACAGAGAAAAAAAUCUAAAACGUUGAAAACAAGAGUCUGAUUCAUCAAUCUAACCACUGAUACCCUAGAGCCGUUCAAGACAGCGAAAGGUCAUAAAUGAAGAUGCUAAGCAGUACUGUCCUCAGCAUGAACCUCAAGAGUCAGCUGCUAGUGGCUAGCCCCCAUUUCAUUUCAUUACUCGUGUUGUUUUAUGAAGUCUACCCACCUGAAAGUUACCUGUUUUAUCAGGUAAGUUGUCCAAAUUUCCUCUAAAGCCAAAGGAGAUACAUUAUCAAAGGAGGACUUAUUUCAUGCUAAAAGGUAGGUACUUACGCUGUCCAGUUGUUUCUUUGCAUUGAGUGUAGAUGUGGUUUUGAUUACUGUGGUUAGACAGCUAGUUUUCAGAAGCUGUGGGGGGGUUAGGUGUAUCUCAUGUUUCUUUGAAAAAUUAAAGUGAACUAUCACUGAAAGGAUAGAUUGAGAAAGGAUCCACAUCAAAAUACCCUAGCGACAUAAGUAGUCAUCAGCAUUUCACUCUGAUUUGAAGUGUGUUGUAAUCAGAACAUAGUCUGUCUGGAUUUCCACACAGAGCUUGAAAGGACUUUCUCACAGUAUUUUUUUUUAAAUGAACACAUUCCUCUGACAAUUUGAAGGAAAAAAAAUAUAUACUAGAUGUUGAAAGGUCAGCAUUUCUUAGGAAAAUCCAUCCCAAAAUGCUCUGCUAGUCAAGCCAAUAUAUUCCACAGAAAAUAUUUAGUAGCUGCUCUAGGUGACUUGAUCCUUAUCGUAUGUCAAGAAUGAACAUUUCAAGUGUGACUUAGUCCCGGUGAGCCAUCACUUGAUGGGUGCUAAUAAGGACUGUGAUCAGCAGCUCAAAUAAAGAGCUCUCCUAUUCAUUAUAAAGUACACUGUUUGACAGAUUACUGCAGAAGAAAAACAUACAGCAAAACUCACAUGUGCUUUGUACUAUUCAAAGUUUAAUUACUAAACAAAUAAGCCUAAAAUAAAACAAAAUGAAAAACAAAUUCCAAACAAAAUGGAAUUUGACAACAUCCCAAGGAAAUAGUGUAUGGAAAGUUGGAUGUAUUUGAGAUAAACAGCAGAUGGCAUUCUCAGGUGGUGGGAAAGAUAAAAAUGUGGAUUUAGAAAUGUUAGGAAUUUUGAAACUGUAGAAAAAUUGUAACUGUUGAAACUCAGCUGAAGAUGCUCUAAGAACCUGUUUGCAGCUUUGGGGAGCACAGCUGCUCUGCAUCUCCUCAUACUGCCCCAGUGAAAAUCUAAAAGCACCUUGGCAUCUUUAAAAUAAAUAAAAGCAUCUGUUGGUCAGAAAAACAUCAGAUAUCCCCAGCCAUGUCCAGUUUAACCAUUGGUAAUAGCUACAGUUUUUGAUGCAAGAAGUAGAAUAACAGUGAGUUUCCUUUACUUGAAAUUAUUUUAGUACACAACAAAAGAGCAAAGUUAAGUUUAAAAACCCUGUGAUGUGCUUCUCUCUCUAAAUGUUUAUUUUUCCCAUCAGGAAGGUCUUGGAGGUGUUCUUUAAAGGUGUGGUAUAAAAAAAAAAAAAAAAAAAAAAAAAGCUAUAUGAGGUUCACAGUUGAAACUCAGUUUUGUUUCUGCUUUUAACUGACUCUUGUGUUACCAAACUGCAGGCAGUAAGACUGCGAUAACUUCACACAGUUUAAAAAAUUAUGAGUAAAUAAUUUAUCAAAAAAUUAACUGUUCAAUGUCAAUGAGCAUCUGUGAAGCGUUGUUGCUCAAAGAUUAAGAAAGAAGAAAAGAAGAAUGGAAUGACAAUUUUUUUUUUUUUUUAACAAUUUGAGAAAGAAAAGUUUCUAAGGAGUAGAGAACAUGACUUCUAGUCAUCCUGACAAUUAGAGAAAAAAACGUGCAGAAUCAUGAUAUGAACUUGAAUGUUAAUGGAAUGAUCAAGAAAAGUAAGAAAAAGAGCCCAGGACAAAAGUUCUAGAUGGUCUUUGUUGUAUUUUCUCAUUUAAUUCUUUUUAUAAUAUUUGAGCCACUUGAAGUAGCCACUGAAUUUUUUGUAGCCCCUUGUGAAAACUAAGGGGUGGGGUUGUCAUGCUCACCUAAGCUGGUGAGCUAGAAUCACUAUAGAAUCAGAGAGAACAAAAGGGCAUUUUAGGACCUGAUUUACCUAUUCACACAGGAAGUAUUUUCUUAUGAUGAGAUGAAUAAUGGCUAGAAAUACUUUUUUAUACUUUUUUUCCCACUAACAGUAAAAAUGGAUCCAGAUAUUUAACCCAGACAAGGGCACAGGCUUCCAUGUCUAGGUAGAAGUAUUCCAAAGAAGUUUAUGUGGUUAGGAUGCUUGGGAAAAGAAGUUCUAAGAUUAUUGCAGACUUCCAAGUCAGCAUUGGCUGCAGGGGCCAAAUGAGACUGGCUGUGAAGUCUGUUCCUGUGAAGGAUAAGAAACAAAAGGGCUGCACCUGUGGUAGAAAGAAGUAAUUAGAAAAAAAAACUAAGCCUAAAACCGCCUUUAUGUGAAGAAAUUGAAGGUAAGCUAAACAUAAUGAGGUAAUAGUUCAGACAAGAACAAUAGUGUGUAUUGAUAUAAUGUAAGUGAAGAGGCUUAAGCGUAGAAAUAUAUUUUAUUUUUAUUAUCAUGGUGGUCUAUAUUUCAAAGAAUGAGAGAAAAAGUACUGAUUCUCAGAGUGCCAGAAUUAAGUAAUGCAAAAAUCUGGACAGAACCUUUGGUGUCCAAGUAUUAAAGAAGCUUGAAAUCUCUCAAGUGUCUUUGAGGAAAAACAAAUACGCAAAAAAAGUCACAUAGGAUUCAUUUGCCUAUGUGUGCAAAUGUUUAACAGAUGCUAAUCCUUACAGGAGUGUUAUGAGAAUUAAUUAAUGAGUGUUGAUAAAAACAAUCCAAGGAAGCAGUUUUUCCAUGCAAUGAACAUAUUAGAAAAGCUGCACUUCUGCCUUUGUUGAUUUUAUAGUAGAUAAGUUAAAGGCAUUCUUGUGCAUGAAGACAAGCAAAAGUCAUUAUAUUCACAAUAAAACAUAAAUAUAAUCAAGUCAUAAUUUUGAAUUUCAACAUACGUGUGAUUCAUAAGAAAUAAAAUAGCUAUUGCUUCUUAUUUUUUCCUCUUUUCCAGAAUAAAGGAAUUGUCUGCCACUUGCUGCAAGUAGUGAAAUAAAAUUAUCCCAUGUGCUUUUAAAACAUCUUCAGUAUAACACAUGCACUGCUUCAAGUUUGUAGGAAUCAAGAAUCUAUCCUGCAUAACUUCAGUCUUGUUGGAGUUUCCUCCUUGGUGGGGGUAAUUUUCUUCUACUAUAAUUCUGCCUAGCAAAUUUUGAAAGACUUUCCUGAACACACACACAUAUAAAUCAACUAUGGACAAACGUUAAUAAUUUAAGGUCUAUGUGUGCAACCUACUUUGUUAUUUUUAUGCAUGUUUCUCCCUGUUUUGGCCAUUAUUGAGGUCAGAUAUCACUGUUGGCUUUAGGAGUAACCUAGUUCUCUACUUUCCACUUUCUUCCUACUCUCAUAACAGUGUGACACAAUAUUAAGAAAGUAAUCUGUAACAUUCAUUGUAUGUUUGUUCAGCUCCCGGUACCUCCAUUUCUUGAUCAUCUUCUGAAGUAUUAGCUCCCAGUGGAACCAGUAUGACUGAGAGGAAGUUAAAAUAUUGUGACUGAUAUAUGUCAUGCUGUAUCUGGGCAGAUGACUGGACCAGUUUGCAUCAGAUUAAACUGAGACAGAUACCAUUGCUUUGGAUACAAAUCAAAUUUGAAAUAUCUUUUCUGUGGAAUGAUCAACGUUAACUUUGUUACAUAUGAAAAUAUCUGGGCUCAUGAGAACAACUGACAUAAUUGUUUUUGAACAUCUUCCACUUGCCUUUUUCAUUCCCUCGGUCACUGUUUGUGAAGAAGAUACAGUGAUCAAAGGGAACCAACAUAUUUUGGAAUUAAAUCAAAAUGUUUGUUAA